rnacentral:lncRNA from 1 species
AGCUGCCUUGUACUGCCGGCGGACCAGGAGCCUGGCUGAGAUCAGCGGCAUCCGCCGAAUGAAGUCAACGCGGCUGCGGGGCCACAGUGCCCUAGGGCAGUGGCUGUGCGCACACAAGCUGGCAGGGAGCGGACAGCAACAAGCUCCGCCAGCCCCAGAGCCUGGCGCACCCGCCGCUCCACCUGAUCUCCGCAGGGGCGCUGGGCAGCCGGGAGGAGGAGGCUAGGCGUCGAGUCCACGGCGCUCUCGGGUGGCCGCUCCCUCCCCCGAGGCCUUGCUCACGCCGCCCAGAGCGCUGCCGGUAUUGUUCGGCUUCGCGGUUGCUGCGGGGGUUUAGCCCUCUUGGCCCUCCGAGCUUGGCAUUGGCGACGCCCGGAGUAGUAAACUUGCAGCGGUCACGAAUUCCCCUAGAUGAAGGAAACGGGCGCGUCGUCCCCUCUUUCUUUAAGUUGGGCUGGAGGAGGAGGGAGGGGGAGGAGCAGGGGAGGGGGGGACUGUGGGAGGGGAGAAGGCGAGGAGGGGGAGGGGAGCAGGGUGAGGCUAGUCUGAAAAACAAUAACAACAAUAAAAAAGUGUUCUCUGGUUCUCCCCCUUCCUCCAGCCGAUCUGUUCUGGGCGCUAGUCCGGGAAUGAGUGCUCGCAUCAGCGAGGACAGAGCGAAGUCCUCGGCACAAGCAAAUGCUAGGAGGCCAACACGAGUUCUUCCUCUCUCGCGGCUGCAGUGGGCAGCCUUCGCCACCGCCUCUGUUUAUUUCGGCCUGAGAACUGCUUUUAUUAAUAAAUCUCUGGAAACUGAGAUAAAAUUCGCGCAAGAGAAUAACAACAUACUUCGAAAUUUAUAUUGAAAUGAAAUCACCAAAAACGCUGGAAGAAGACUCUUGUUGAGAUUUGCUGCAAUGAAUAUGAGCUCCUGCCUGAUCAAACAACCUCUCAAACCUUAGGGCAAAACCUGCACUGGGCAAAACCUCAGCUUGUGGCUGAGAAGGAUAUCCGCCACAGGGCUCCUGGCAAGGGUACAUUUCCCGGCGAGUGAAGAGAACCAAGGCUUGAUCAAAAAUUCGUGGUGUGUUUACAAGAAGAAAAAUAAGGGAUGAGGUGAAGCAAAUUCCACAAACAUCCCAGCAAUCAUGAGCAACUCCUUUUGAAUGGUGUCUACUGUGAUCUCUUAUAGCGUGAUGUGCACAUACAUACAGAAGAAUAAAUGCAUUGCACUUCACCCACUGUGUUCUCACACACAAAGGAAUGUUUUCCAUGUUGAAAAGAAAAACCCAGCCAAAACAACAAUAAAAAGAAUCAACACAAAAAUCCAAAAUCCAGGAGGCUCUAGUUUAUGGGAACAGGAAUGCAUUUAAUUAUUUCAAAGAUUGUUACCUUUGGGCUUGUGGGCAAACCUAGGGAUUGAAUACUGUCUACAAACAAGCAGCUUUCCAAUAAAGUGCAGUAUUAUUGCAGUA